AACGCUAGCUACAGGCUUAACACAUGCAAGUCGAGGGCAGCAUGAAGUUGCUGCAAACUUGAUGGCGACCGGCGCACGGUGAGUAACGCGUAUCCAACCUUCCCCUUAGUAGGGCAUAGCCCGGCGAAAGUCGGAUUAAUACCCUAUGUUCUUCGUAGAGGACAUCUGAAAUGAAGCAAAGGUUUACCGCUAAGGGAUGGGGAUGCGUCUGAUUAGGUAGUAGGCGGGGUAACGGCCCACCUAGCCUGCGAUCAGUAGGGGUUCUGAGAGGAAGGUCCCCCACAUUGGAACUGAGACACGGUCCAAACUCCUACGGGAGGCAGCAGUGAGGAAUAUUGGUCAAUGGGCGCGAGCCUGAACCAGCCAAGUAGCCGUGCAGGAUGACGGCCCUAUGGGUUGUAAACUGCUUUUAUCAGGGGAUAAAGUGAGGGACGUGUCCCUUUUUGUAGGUACCUGAUGAAUAAGGACCGGCUAAUUCCGUGCCAGCCGCGGC
rnacentral:rRNA from 1 species